UUUGUACAUGCUCACCUCCAGGACGUGUUGUCUGACAGUGACACUGCAAUCACAAGUCAUUCAGUAAAGCCGGAGACUCCACUGCUGGAAUGCAAAUCAGCCUUUCUUGAUCAAAAGGGCUCCUGGCAGAAUUUGACAUCAUCUUUAAAGGCUAACAGUCCUCAGUCCACACAAAAAGAGUUGGAAUCUUCAGGUCAAAAGGAUAGUGACAAGGAAUCAGACUUGGGUGAAUCAACUUGGACAGAGAACAGUGAGCCAGAUGAUACAUUCUUCAGGUGUAGUUUGCCACAAGUAUUGUAAGACAAGCCCUCUUCUGGAACCCACAAGGGAAAAGGAAGAGAGGCAGGCCAAGGAAUAGCUGGCGCCGUGACCUUGAUGCAGAUGUGAAGAGGUCUGGCCACACAUGGGGACAGCUAGAGAAGUUGGCCCAGGAUCGGGAUGACUGGAGAGCCCUUGUUCGUGGCCUAUGGCCAAAGUUGGGCGGUGGGCUUAAGUAAGUAAGUUUGCCACA